GAGUUUGAUCAUGGCUCAGGACGAACGCUGGCGGCGUGCUUAACACAUGCAAGUCGAACGAUGAAGCCCUUCGGGGUGGAUUAGUGGCGAACGGGUGAGUAACACGUGGGCAAUCUGCCCUUCACUCUGGGACAAGCCCUGGAAACGGGGUCUAAUACCGGAUAACACUCGCCGAGGCAUGGGGGGGGGUUGAAAGCUCCGGCGGUGAAGGAUGAGCCCGCGGCCUAUCAGCUUGUUGGUGAGGUAGAAGCUCACCAAGGCGACGACGGGUAGCCGGCCUGAGAGGGCGACCGGCCACACUGGGACUGAGACACGGCCCAGACUCCUACGGGAGGCAGCAGUGGGGAAUAUUGCACAAUGGGCGAAAGCCUGAUGCAGCGACGCCGCGUGAGGGAUGACGGCCUUCGGGUUGUAAACCUCUUUCAGCAG
rnacentral:rRNA from 1 species